UUAAGUUAGAAAGGGCGCACGGUGGAUGCCUUGACACUAGGAGUCGAUGAAGGACGGGACUAACGCCGAUAUGCUUCGGGGAGCUGUAAGUAAGCUUUGAUCCGAAGAUUUCCGAAUGGGGAAACCCACCAUACGUAAUGGUAUGGUAUCCUUAUCUGAAUACAUAGGGUAAGGAAGACAGACCCAGGGAACUGAAACAUCUAAGUACCUGGAGGAAGAGAAAGCAAAUGCGAUUUCCUGAGUAGCGGCGAGCGAAACGGAACAUAGCCCAAACCAAGAGGCUUGCCUCUUGGGGUUGUAGGACAUUCUAUACGGAGUUACAAAGGAACGAGGUAGACGAAGCGACCUGGAAAGGUCCGUCGUAGAGGGUAACAACCCCGUAGUCGAAACUUCGUUCUCUCUUGAAUGUAUCCUGAGUACGGCGGAACACGUGAAAUUCCGUCGGAAUCUGGGAGGACCAUCUCCCAAGGCUAAAUACUCCCUAGUGAUCGAUAGUGAACCAGUACCGUGAGGGAAAGGUGAAAAGCACCCCGGAAGGGGAGUGAAAGAGAUCCUGAAACCGUGUGCCUACAAAUAGUCAGAGCCCGUUAACGGGUGAUGGCGUGCCUUUUGUAGAAUGAACCGGCGAGUUACGAUCCCGUGCGAGGUUAAGCUGAAGAGGCGGAGCCGCAGCGAAAGCGAGUCUGAAUAGGGCGUUUAGUACGUGGUCGUAGACCCGAAACCAGGUGAUCUACCCAUGUCCAGGGUGAAGUUCAGGUAACACUGAAUGGAGGCCCGAACCCACGCACGUUGAAAAGUGCGGGGAUGAGGUGUGGGUAGCGGAGAAAUUCCAAUCGAACCUGGAGAUAGCUGGUUCUCCCCGAAAUAGCUUUAGGGCUAGCCUUAAGUGUAAGAGUCUUGGAGGUAGAGCACUGAUUGGACUAGGGGUCCUCAUCGGAUUACCGAAUUCAGUCAAACUCCGAAUGCCAAUGACUUAUCCUUAGGAGUCAGACUGCGAGUGAUAAGAUCCGUAGUCAAAAGGGAAACAGCCCAGACCGCCAGCUAAGGUCCCAAAGUGUGUAUUAAGUGGAAAAGGAUGUGGAGUUGCUUAGACAACUAGGAUGUUGGCUUAGAAGCAGCCACCAUUUAAAGAGUGCGUAAUAGCUCACUAGUCGAGUGACUCUGCGCCGAAAAUGUACCGGGGCUAAAUACACCACCGAAGCUGCGGAUUGAUACCAAUGGUAUCAGUGGUAGGGGAGCGUUCUAAGGACAGUGAAGUCAGACCGGAAGGACUGGUGGAGUGCUUAGAAGUGAGAAUGCCGGUAUGAGUAGCGAAAGACGGGUGAGAAUCCCGUCCACCGAAUGCCUAAGGUUUCCUGAGGAAGGCUCGUCCGCUCAGGGUUAGUCAGGACCUAAGCCGAGGCCGACAGGCGUAGGCGAUGGACAACAGGUUGAUAUUCCUGUACCACCUCUUUAUCGUUUGAGCAAUGGAGGGACGCAGAAGGAUAGAAGAAGCGUGCGAUUGGUUGUGCACGUCCAAGCAGUUAGGCUGAUAAGUAGGCAAAUCCGCUUAUCGUGAAGGCUGAGCUGUGAUGGGGAAGCUCCUUAUGGAGCGAAGUCUUUGAUUCCCCGCUGCCAAGAAAAGCUUCUAGCGAGAUAAAAGGUGCCUGUACCGCAAACCGACACAGGUAGGCGAGGAGAGAAUCCUAAGGUGUGCGAGAGAACUCUGGUUAAGGAACUCGGCAAAAUGACCCCGUAACUUCGGGAGAAGGGGUGCUUUCUUAACGGAAAGCCGCAGUGAAUAGGCCCAAGCGACUGUUUAGCAAAAACACAGCUCUCUGCGAAGCCGUAAGGCGAAGUAUAGGGGGUGACACCUGCCCGGUGCUGGAAGGUUAAGGAGAGGGGUUAGCGUAAGCGAAGCUCUGAACUGAAGCCCCAGUAAACGGCGGCCGUAACUAUAACGGUCCUAAGGUAGCGAAAUUCCUUGUCGGGUAAGUUCCGACCCGCACGAAAGGUGUAACGAUUUGGGCACUGUCUCAACCAGAGACUCGGUGAAAUUAUAGUACCUGUGAAGAUGCAGGUUACCCGCGACAGGACGGAAAGACCCCGUGGAGCUUUACUGUAGCCUGAUAUUGAAUUUUGGUACAGUUUGUACAGGAUAGGCGGGAGCCUUUGAAACCGGAGCGCUAGCUUCGGUGGAGGCGCUGGUGGGAUACCGCCCUGACUGUAUUGAAAUUCUAACCUACGGGUCUUAUCGACCCGGGAGACAGUGUCAGGUGGGCAGUUUGACUGGGGCGGUCGCCUCCUAAAGUGUAACGGAGGCGCCCAAAGGUUCCCUCAGAAUGGUUGGAAAUCAUUCGUAGAGUGCAAAGGCAUAAGGGAGCUUGACUGCGAGACCUACAAGUCGAGCAGGGACGAAAGUCGGGCUUAGUGAUCCGGUGGUUCCGCAUGGAAGGGCCAUCGCUCAACGGAUAAAAGCUACCCCGGGGAUAACAGGCUUAUCUCCCCCAAGAGUCCACAUCGACGGGGAGGUUUGGCACCUCGAUGUCGGCUCAUCGCAUCCUGGGGCUGUAGUCGGUCCCAAGGGUUGGGCUGUUCGCCCAUUAAAGCA
rnacentral:rRNA from 1 species